rnacentral:rRNA from 1 species
UACAGAGACUGCGAGCGUUAUUCGGAUUCACUGGGCGUAAAGGGUGCGCAGGUGGCUAAGUGUGUUAGGCGUGAAAGCCCGGGGCUUAACCCCGGAAUUGCACCUAAAACUACUUGGCUAGAGCAUUGGAGAGGGGAGCAGAAUUCAUGGUGUAGCAGUGAAAUGCGUAGAUAUCAUGAGGAAUACCAGAGGCGAAGGCGGCUCCCUGGACAAUUGCUGACACUCAGGCACGAAAGCGUGGGGAGCAAAAGGG